rnacentral:rRNA from 1 species
UGAAUAAUUAAACGGCCGCGGUACCCUAACCGUGCAAAGGUAGCAUAAUCAUUUGUCUACUAAUUAUAGACCUGUAUGAAAGGCAAAAUGAGGGUCUAACUGUCUCUUAUAAUAAAUCAAUUAAACUGAUCUACUAGUAAAAAAGCUAGAAUAACAACAUAAGACCAGAAGACCCUGUGAAGCUUAAAUUAAACUAUUAAAUCAAAUAAUAACUACUUUCGGUUGGGGCGACCUUGGAAAAAAAAAGAACUUCCAAGAUCCAGCAUAGCUGAUAAUUGAACCAAGUUACUCCAGGGAUAACAGCGCAAUCUUCUUCAAGAGUCCAUAUCAAAAGGAAGGUUUACGACCUCGAUGUUGGAUCAGGACAUCCUAAUGGUGCAGCCGCUAUUAAGGGUUCGUUUGUUCAACGAUUAAUAGUCCUACGUGAUCUGA